GCAUGUGGCGCUCGCACGCCUCCCCCUCGCCGUGCCCAGUGAACCCCGCGUCUCACCCUCGAAAAGGGAGAUGUGCGGUGCCCGGCCGCCGCCCCGUGCCGCUGCGGUUGAUGCCAGCGAGGGUGCUCCCGUACUUUGGCCGAGGCUGCACUCUCACAUCGUCUCCUCCCUGGCCCUUUCUUCCUCUUCGUCGGCACAGGAACGGGGGUCGCCGUAUUGGGCAGCAGUUCGCCGCCACACCUCACUAAUCUAUCUCCUCUAUCUUCGUUCCCACACUACAGGGCGCCAUGGCCAUGGACCAAAGCUCCGAUGGUCCUUCCCUCGCGACUGCCAGUCUUCCUCCCUACCAGAUUGACGACGAUGAUGACCGGAUCUUCCCCGCUGCCAUCCGUUUCCAGGAGACGUCAGCGGAUGGGGUUUCUUCCUCACGGCCUCCACCUACGGGCUCGCCGGGCCGGUGAUUAGACCUGCUCGGCAUGCGGGAUUGUGUCCUCUCCUAGCGAGGCGGUCGUGUGUCUUGCCCGUCACGCCCUCGGCUGUCGAGUCUUUUUCCUCGGCGCGCCCUCCUCCAGUAGCUCCGUCGCGUACGUGAACCAUCCAGGUGGGUAGGUUUGGUUCUGAUCUUAAAUUAUUUCCACAUUCAAAUUUUCUUCAUUUUGUUCAGAUUGAAUUUUGGGUUGUGUUUCGUUGAAGGCCCGAUUUCACCUGGUGAGAGCUGUUGAUCUCAAGUUUAAAGCUUAUAUCUGUUAGGUUCAAAACUGAAUUUUAUCAGAGGAAGUUCUGUGUGUUUGCAACCCUGCAACACCCAUUGCAUUUUUCUUCAGCAUGACCAACAACUCCACCACCUCCGAAGUUAACCAUGGCCAGCUACCCAAUAUAUUGUCCAGAUGCUUGACGGAUAGCAUCACCGCGGCACACAAUUUCGAGGUGGCCAGUUACCAGUUGCUGGAUGGCAUCGGGGUCGGCAAGCACGUUUGCUCAAGUUUCCUGCUCGCCUAGCAUCUGCCCGACCUCCCCAGCCAACCCAGCCACCCCCUCCGGGCUGAGCCCCUGUGCUGGUGGUCGACAAGAUUUUUUUAGUUAAUGAUGAGAUGUUUAGCCAUCCUCACUGGGGCUCCAAUCUGUGAGUAUGUUGGUGUGUUGAGGAGGACUGAAGAAGUGGGAGGUUCUAAAGAUGGACGGGAGGGCAGGGUCUGAUAUGCUUAUGCCAUCACUUCACGUUGAGAACGAUUCCGAGGCACCACCGCGCCGGAGGACUACAUCGAUGCUGGCUCUGUUGGAAGUUUCGCAAGGUUCAUAAACCACAGCUGCAACCGUAACCUCUUCGCCCAGUGUGUCCUAACAAAUCACCACGACGUCAAGCUACAAAAGGUAGCACCUGACAUCGACAGCUAUGACAUCAGGAACUCCCUCGCAGUUGUCGAAUACCUCGCUGAAAUUUAUAGCUUCUACAGACGGACCAAGUUGAGUUGUGAGCCCCCCACCUACAUGACACACCAAACUGAUAUCAAUGAGAAAAGGCGUAUUUUUCUGAUUGACUGGUUGAUUGAGUAUGCAGGUGCAGUACAAGCUUGAGCUACUGGGUGAAACACUAUUCCUUGCUGUCAACAUCAUUGAUAGAUCAAUGCAUAGAAAAGUAUGUCUCAAGUUUUCUCUUGAAUGGAACCUGCAAGUUUCUCAUCUGUUUAGUGAAGCUUACCUUGAAAAGAAUUAUAAAUACUACAGGAAGGAGAGUAAGAUAAUGACAGUUCAUUGGAAUAUGGAUUUUGAGAGGAUAUAUAUGGGUUUUGCUCUCUGUAAUUACAUAUUACUUUCCUUGCUGAUGCUAUUGCUCAUGUUAUAAAACUGGUCUACAUCGCACACAUGGUUUCCAGCAAAGAAAACAGUGUCAUGAUUUAUAAACUAGGCUUGUGUGCUCAAGUAAUA